rnacentral:rRNA from 1 species
GAUGAACGCUGGCGGCGUGCCUAAUACAUGCAAGUCGACCGAACAGACGAGGAGCUUGCUCCUCUGACGUUAGCGGCGGACGGGUGAGUAACACGUGGAUAACCUACCUAUAAGACUGGGAUAACUUCGGGAAACCGGAGCUAAUACCGGAUAAUAUAUUGAACCGCAUGGUUCAAUAGUGAAAGACGGUUUUGCUGUCACUUAUAGAUGGAUCCGCGCCGCAUUAGCUAGUUGGUAAGGUAACGGCUUACCAAGGCAACGAUGCGUAGCCGACCUGAGAGGGUGAUCGGCCACACUGGAACUGAGACACGGUCCAGACUCCUACGGGAGGCAGCAGUAGGGAAUCUUCCGCAAUGGGCGAAAGCUUGACGGAGCAACGCCGCGUGAGUGAUGAAGGUCUUCGGAUCGUAAAACUCUGUUAUUAGGGAAGAACAAAUGUGUAAGUAACUAUGCACGUCUUGACGGUACCUAAUCAGAAAGCCACGGCUAACUACGUG